rnacentral:rRNA from 1 species
GGGGAAUCUUCCGCUAUGGACGAAAGUCUGACGGAGCAACGCCGCGUGCACGAUGACAGCCGUCGGGUUGUAAAGUUCUGUUAUGCGGGACGCAGGGCGAAGCGGUCAAUACCCGUUACGGGGGACGGUAACGUAAGAGCAAGAGACGGCUAACUACGUGCCAGCAGCCGCGGUAAUACGUAGGUGGCAAGCGUUGUCCGGAAUUAUUGGGCGUAAAGGGCGCGCAGGCGGCGUCGUAAGUCGGUCUUAAAAGUGCGGGGCUUAACCCCGUGAGGGGACCGAAACUGCGAUGCUAGAGUAUCGGAGAGGAAAGCGGAAUUCCUAGUGUAGCGGUGAAAUGCGUAGAUAUUAGGAGGAACACCAGUGGCGAAAGCGGCUUUCUGGACGACAACUGACGCUGAGGCGCGAAAGCCAGGGGAGCAAACG